rfam:Triticum aestivum genome assembly, contig: Triticum_aestivum_CS42_TGACv1_scaffold_404450_5BL
AUGAUACUCCCUCCGUCCCAAAUUUUUUAUUUUAGAUUUGUCUAAAUACAGAUGUAUCAAAUUAUGUUUUAAUAUUAGAUACAUCUGUAUCUAGACUAAUCUAAGACAAGAAUUUUGGAAUGGAGGGAGUAUGUG